rnacentral:rRNA from 1 species
AGUGAACGCUGGCGGUAGGCCUAACACAUGCAAGUCGAACGGCAGCACAGUAAGAGCUUGCUCUUACGGGUGGCGAGUGGCGGACGGGUGAGGAAUACAUCGGAAUCUACUUUUUCGUGGGGGAUAACGUAGGGAAACUUACGCUAAUACCGCAUACGACCUACGGGUGAAAGCAGGGGAUCUUCGGACCUUGCGCGAUUGAAUGAGUCGAUGUCGGAUUAGCUAGUUGGCGGGGUAAAGGCCCACCAAGGCGACGAUCCGUAGCUGGUCUGAGAGGAUGAUCAGCCACACUGGAACUGAGACACGGUCCAGACUCCUACGGGAGGCAGCAGUGGGGAAUAUUGGACAAUGGGCGCAAGCCUGACCCAGCCAUACCGCGUGGGUGAAGAAGGCCUUCGGGUUGUAAAGCCCUUUUGUUGGGAAAGAAAAGCAGCAGGUUAAUACCCCGCUGUUCUGACGGUACCCAAAGAAUAAGCACCGGCUAACUUCGUG